AGAAAUUGUAACAGAAUAACUGCGAAAGAUCUCUAAUAUCCCUUAUUGCUUGGUUAUUUAAAACUGUAUUCAGUAGUCAACAAAUCCGAAAUAUCCGAUUUUUCAAAUGAAUUUUAUUCAUUCAUUAAUCUAAUCUGCACUGCCGGGCGCCAAAUUUAUAUAUUUUGCCAGAAGCCAGAUUGUUGAGUAGCUGCAAUUCUGCGACAUUUAUUAAGGUAGAUUUUUCGUUACCGCUUCCGUAUUGUGGCAGUUGGGCGCGAAAUAUCGCCCCCUUAAUUCAACAACUAGAUAACUUAAAUUUUAGACAUUUUGAGUUAUUCAGUUAAGUAUACCCAAUAUUGCUUACUCUUUUUAAUGUUACAACUAGAUAUCUUCUACAAGCGACUAGUCUUUACUUACACAGUGGCAAAAAAUAUAUAACUCGCAAAACAAACAAAAUUUACAUUCUUUAACGUAAUACUUAAACUCUCAUGCAAUGACGUCAAGAGGAAAGAAAAUGUUAGAAAUUUUACGUCGGCAAUCGGAAAAUAUUGAAGUUGCUGUUUUUCCUUAAGAAGAACCCAAGCCAAAAGUAAACGAUGGACAAAAGGUUGUGAAUGUUAUAGACAACACAUCAAUAUCGCAGAGAGAACUCUAUUCUAAUGCGCAACAGACUGCAGAUUAUGACAAUUUGCCUGGUCUCAGUAAUCAACGUUCUCCUUUAUCAUACAAUUUGGAGUCAGAUAUAGAACCAUUUUCACCCGAGGUUUCAGAAUAUGUUCCAAGUUCUUCAGGUGAAACAUCUAAAGAAGAAUUAGGUUUUGAAAACUUGACUUUGACAACAGACAUACAACUCGAAGGUAUGGAAGAAUUUCCUUCGAAAACCCAAAAAUCUAGAAAGAGGAAGAGGAAUCCAAAUGAGUGGAAAAAAAAUAUUCCAAAAAGAGGAGACAGCAUGGCGAAAGUUAUAUCUCUAGCAGAGAAAAAUACGUUCCUGGAGUGUCAUUAAAGGAUCCGUGCACGGCAAAAUGUAGAAGAAAAUGCAGUAACAAAUUAACCCACGACGAUCGUCUCAAAAUUUUUCAAAGUUACUCUAUCAGCUUGAUUCAUACGAACAACAAAGAAAUUUUAUACAGAGCAACACAGAAAAAAUAGCAAAAAAAUGACAACCAAAGAAAAUUCUAAGCGCAAAAAUACUAUUAUAUUUUUCUUGCCUAUCGUUGAAGCAAAGAUUCAAGUUUGCAAGACCAUGUUUAUAAAUACUAUAAAAUAAUAUCUUUAUUUAGCAAAAGCUACAUUCAAUAAAAACAUAAAUAAAAAAUAAAGUAAAAGUAUAAGUUGGCCAUAACUGUAUCAGGACACUCCGGUUUGUCCAUGGAUGGUCUCGGUAAUCCAGAAACAGCAUCCCGGUUCCAGAAAUAUCCGGUCAGAGGUAGACCAUAAAUUAAAACUAGACUUAACCUAAACAUUAUUUUAAACAUUAUUUCCUUGCCCACUUAUUAAAAGCACAGUUAAUUAUUGUUUGCCUUAUAAUAAUAAAAAUAAUGUCGACUCAGGUUGAUCGAGUCGGUUGCAAUCAGCCGAUGACACACAUUUGGAACUUGGUUGACCUUGCUGACCAGAUACAUUGGUCCCCCCGUGUAGCACUUAGAAAUGCUUCGGUAGUUCCAAGAAGCUGUAACCAGUAUCCCGGUUGGCCCAAAAAUACCCAGUCAACAGAUAAACCAACAAUCAAGAUGAUGAUUGGAGCGGAAACAAUGCAUACUAUAGUAAAACUUAAUAAACUACAUAAUUAAAAUAAAAUAAUAAAAUAACAAACACAAUUUUACUUAUUCAUAAUAAAUUUUCUCAAGAGCCCUCUGAAUUGAUUCAAAGUAAUACAAUUUUUGAUGUUAGCAGGCAAGUUGUUAAAUAGGAUUAAACCUUUGUAUAGAACUGAAUUAUGCAUUUGGGUUGUGUUACAUCUGUCGACUAGUAUGAAGUCUAUACGAUUUCUCGUAUUAUAGUUAUGUAUAUCUCCAAAAACUCUUAAUUUAUUACAAAUAUAAUCGGGGAGCAUCUGAUGUUUUAAUUUAAAAAUAAACAAAUAAACGUUAUACAAAAUUCUUUGAUGUAUAGACAACAUAUCUAGGACACCCAACAUAGAGACAACAGGCGUGUAACGAUUACAAUUUAGAAUCAAUCUCAUUGCCCUAUUUUGAAUUCUUUCUAGUUGGUCAAUUCUAUACUGU